GAUGAACGCUGGCGGCGUGCCUAAUACAUGCAAGUCGAGCGAACAGACGAACAGCUUGCUUAUCAAACGUUAGCGGCGGACGUGAGAGUACCACGUUACUAACCUACCUAUAAGACUGGGAUAACUUCGGGAAACCGGUGCUGAUACCGGGUAAUGUAUUGAACCGCAUGGGUCAAUAGUAAAAGACCGUUUUGAUGUCACUUAUAGAUGGAUCCACACGGCAUUAGCUAGUUGGUAAGGUAACGGUUUACCAAGGCAACGAUCAGUAGCAGCCCUGAGAGGGUGAUCGUCCACUGGUGAACUGAGACACGGUGCAGAAUUCUACGGGAGGCAGCAGUCGGGAAUCUUCCGGAAUGGGCGGAAGCCUGACGGAGCAACUCCGCGUGAGCGAGGACGGUCUUCGUAUCGUAAAACUCGGUUACUAGGUAAGAACAAAUGCGUAAGUAACUUUGCACAUCUUGACGUUACCUAAUCAGAUAGUCACGGCUAACUACGUG
rnacentral:rRNA from 1 species